UGGGGAAUAUUUGACAAUGGGCGCAAGCCUGAUCCAGCCAUGCCGCGUGAGUGAUGAAGGCCCUAGGGUUGUAAAGCUCUUUCACCGGUGAAGAUAAUGACGGUAACCGGAGAAGAAGCCCCGGCUAACUUCGUGCCAGCAGCCGCGGUAAUACGAAGGGGGCUAGCGUUGUUCGGAUUUACUGGGCGUAAAGCGCACGUAGGCGGACUUUUAAGUCAGGGGUGAAAUCCCGGGGCUCAACCCCGGAACUGCCUUUGAUACUGGAAGUCUUGAGUAGGGUAGAGGUGGGUGGAAUUCCGAGUGUAGAGGUGAAAUUCGUAGAUAUUCGGAGGAACACCAGUGGAGAAGGCGGCUCACUGGACCAUUACUGACGCUGAGGUGCGAAAGCGUGGGGAGCAAACAGG
rnacentral:rRNA from 1 species